AUUGAACGCUGGCGGCAGGCUUAACACAUGCAAGUCGAGCGGGGGAAGGUAGCUUGCUACCGGACCUAGCGGCGGACGGGUGAGUAAUGCUUAGGAAUCUGCCUAUUAGUGGGGGACAACAUCUCGAAAGGGAUGCUAAUACCGCAUACGUCCUACGGGAGAAAGCAGGGGAUCUUCGGACCUUGCGCUAAUAGAUGAGCCUAAGUCGGAUUAGCUAGUUGGUGGGGUAAAGGCCUACCAAGGCGACGAUCUGUAGCGGGUCUGAGAGGAUGAUCCGCCCAACUGGGACUGAGACACGGCCCAGACUCCUACGGGAGGCAGCAGUGGGGAAUAUUGGGCAAUGGGGGGAACCCUGAUCCAGCCAUGCCGCGUGUGUGAAGAGGGCCUUAUGGUUGUAAAGCACUUUAAGCGAGGAGGAGGCUACUCUAGUUAAUACCUAGGGAUAGUGGACGUUACUCGCAGAAUAAGCACCGGCUAACUCUGUGCCAGCCGCCGCGGUAA
rnacentral:rRNA from 1 species